rnacentral:rRNA from 1 species
AGCUCCAAUAGCGUAUAUUAAAGUUGCUGCAGUUAAAAAGCUCGUAGUUGGAUUUCUGACGAAACUGCUAGCUGGCCCGUCACGUCAGUGAUGUGUGCCGGCUUGGCGUUUGUCAUCCGUUCGAAUGAUAUGCGCGCUGCCCUUCACUGGGUUGGUGCUGCAUGUUUUCGAUCUUUUACUUUGAAAAAAUUAGAGUGUUUCAAGCAGGCAUGUUUGCUAUGAAUACAUUAGCAUGGAAUAAUAAUCUAGGUUCUAUUU